rnacentral:rRNA from 1 species
GAUCAUGGCUCAGAUUGAACGCUGGCGGAAUGCUUUACACAUGCAAGUCGAACGGUAGAGGGGCAACCCUUGAGAGUGGCGAACGGGUGAGUAAUAUAUCGGAACGUGCCCAGUCGUGGGGAUAACGUAGCGAAAGUUACGCUAAUACCGCAUACGAUCUACGGAUGAAAGCGGGGGACUCGCAAGAGCCUCGCGCGAUUGGAGCGGCCGAUAUCAGAUUAGGUAGUUGGUGGGGUAAAGGCUCACCAAGCCAACGAUCUGUAGCUGGUCUGAGAGGACGACCAGCCACACUGGGACUGAGACACGGCCCAGACUCCUACGGGAGGCAGCAGUGGGGAAUAUUGGACAAUGGGCGAAAGCCUGAUCCAGCCAUGCCGCGUGUGUGAAGAAGGUCUUCGGAUUGUAAAGCACUUUAAGUUGGGAGGAAGGGCAGUAAGUUAAUACCUUGCUGUUUUGACGUUACCAACAGAAUAAGCACCGGCUAACUUCGUG